rnacentral:lncRNA from 1 species
UUUUCAUGAAUCUAUUAUAUGAUCAAGUUGCUGUUAGAAAACCUCAGAAAAAAUCUAACCCGAGUGUUGAAUAAAUGAGAUCAAAAGCGAAAUCAUCAUCAAUUCCAUCUCUAGCUGCAAACAUGGUGCUUUGUUUUGCCAUCAUGAAUAUGCAGGGGACAGCAGAAAGAGCUCGACGUACAGGCAGUAACUAACUUACCAUUUGGAGCAACGAACAACUUCACUCUUUAGCAGCAUACAACUGAUGUUGUGCCGUAAUUGGCAAAACCUUUCUCAUCAUCUCUUUUGUUCCUUUUCAUUCAUUGCACAAUUCCUGCUCAAACCAGUAACAAAUCAUAGUACUGUAUAUUUCCUUCUGUGCUUCUUUUUUAUCCUUUACUGUAUAACUAAACCCAACAUAUCAACUAAAAACUUACAAUUGGUAACCUCUGUUUUUCCUUUUGCCUAAAACAACUUGAUUUGCUGUUAAAGUAAAAGGUCCGCCUCCUCCAAUCCAAAAUCUACAUAAUACAAAACUGAAACCUGUUACUGGUGGAAUCCAUCCUUCCCAGCACCAUCUUGAUUUUAUGGAAACCCUGUUGCUAUCAUAUGGCCCUUUUUUCCUUUAGCAAUAGAGCUAUAACAAAGAAGCUUUUAUAUUCUUCAAAAUGUAGUAAUAAUUCUUCUUUCCUUUACAAAUUGUAGAGGCCACAACCAGCAGACUUACAUCUUCACCUGACUGUGUGAGUAAUAGCUUGUUCACCUCCCGGAUGCAGUCCCAACAUUCGCUUGCCUCCUCUGGUCAAUGCCAAGGUGCUCAUUCGCUCCUGAGUUCGGUUACAC